AGUCUUGCAUGAAAGGCAAUGACUGCCCGUUUGAUCAUCAACUCUCCAAGUAUCCGUGCGAUAAAUAUGCUUCCCAUGGGUUCUGCAACAGAGGUUCUAGUUGUUUAUUUUCACAUGAGGUAACAACUGUUAAGACAGACGCAGUUACAAGUCCUAUUGCUUCAAACUCUUUGGUCCAAGUAAACACAAAUGGAAUGUCACAUAAAGACGUUAACUCCACAUCUAGUUCAGCUGGGCUUGUUCCCCGUAAUAGCACUGAGCGAACUGUAUUGGAGAACGUGCGAAAGCCAGCUGCAUCAACACCCAAAGGUAUCACGUUCUUAUCUCAUGGGAAGUCUUUGCAAGGUGAUGCCAGAAAGCAUGAAGAAGUUGGUUUACCCUCCAAAGCAAAUGGUGUUGACAAUAUUCAGAAACCGAAUGGAUUUAUGAAAGGCGCAUCUACAAGGACACCACAAGGAAUAAACUUCUUGUCCUUUGGCCGAGCACCUUCAGCUGAGCCUAGUGGUGACACAUUGUCAGGCAUGCUUAAUAUGGAUUAUGGAGUUGAUAAAUUGCAAUUGGUUGACA
rnacentral:misc_RNA from 1 species